rnacentral:rRNA from 1 species
UGGGGAAUAUUGGACAAUGGGCGGAAGCCUGAUCCAGCCAUGUCGCGUGUGUGAAGAAGGCCUUUUGGUUGUAAAGCACUUUAAGCGAGGAGGAGGCUACUUGGAUUAAUACUCUAGGAUAGUGGACGUUACUCGCAGAAUAAGCACCGGCUAACUCUGUGCCAGCAGCCGAGGUAAUACAGAGGGUGCGAGCGUUAAUCGGAUUUACUGGGCGUAAAGCGUGCGUAGGCGGCUUCUUAAGUCGGAUGUGAAAUCCCUGAGCUUAACUUAGGAAUUGCAUUCGAUACUGGGAAGCUAGAGUAUGGGAGAGGAUGGUAGAAUUCCAGGUGUAGCGGUGAAAUGCGUAGAGAUCUGGAGGAAUACCGAUGGCGAAGGCAGCCAUCUGGCCUAAUACUGACGCUGAGGUACGAAAGCAUGGGGAGCAAACAGG